GUUUCUCAAUUUCUUCCUUCUCUAAAAGGUUUUCAUUGAGUAUGUAAUUCACCGUCACAUGACCUUGAUUGCCUUCUAUAUCUUUCUCUUUCUGUCUCUGUACCUGUAUGAAUGUCUUCAAUGUUGUAGGCUCAUCACUCUCUCAGGUUUUCUUUUCUCAUGCAUUAUUUAAAAUAAGAAAGACCAAAUGAAACACCAUCAUAGAAUACUGAAACUUUCAUUAUGUCAGUCAUAUUGUCUUUCAUCAAAGGAUCAAACAGUGAAGUAUGCCCAUUGUCUAAAUAUAGUUUAGGAUUUUAGUGUUCUCCUGGAAAUAUAUAGAAGACUAAUUUUGAAUUACUAUAAUCAAACAGUCAAAACCAUCUGAAACAAUACUGAGCAGACAAGAUAUCCCAGGAAAAAGAGUCUUGAUUCCAAUCAUGCCUUUUUCUUUCCAGAAUGUCCAGAAAAUCUGGCAGGUUUUCUUCUAAUUUAUAUACAGAUAGAUAUAUUUUUAUAUUUCUUUGUAUUCUGAAUAUGCUUCAUCACCCAUAAGAAUAUUAUAAAUAUUUGUUCAAUAUGGAAAUGAGAAAAUAAAUUACUAAUUCAACCUUUUACUUGAAUGAGGAAUCAUUUGGAAAUCCUGAUAGAUGGGUACUUAAUAUAUUUAAACAUAGAGCCAGGAAUCUUCCAAUUACAUACUUCACAUAUUGUCCCUUAGGGCACUGAGUCUUACUUCCUUUAUAACUGGAGAUUGGAGAAGGAAGGUAAUUGCAUUUUGAGUUAAUUUUAUCAUGUCAUUUAUCUCAAGACUGUUGAGAAAAUUAAAUUACUUAAGGGCUGACAAGAGGGUUCUAAAGGUACUUUGCACCAAGGUUGUUGACCUGUAUUUGAUCCCUUCUAGUCAUGUGUUAGAAGGAAGAAACCAACUUCUAAAUGCUGUCCUCUUCCAAAUGUAUGCCAUGGUAAUUUUGCACUUCCUUCUCCCCAUAAACACAUUCUAUCUUUUUUGUUUGUUUGUUUGUUUGUUUUUCGAGACAGGGUUUCUCUGGGUAGUUUUGGUGCCUGUCCUGGAUCUCGCUCUGUAGACCAGGUUGACCUCAAACUCACAGAGAUCUGCCUGCCUCUGCCUCCAUUGUGCUGGUAUUAAAGGUGUGUACCACCACCACCACCACCACCACCACCACCACCCUUAUUUCCCUUAUCAGCCCCUCCAGUCAACUGCCUCCGCAAUGAGGCAUCUAGUUCUUUAUUAACUCAGACAUGUCCAUAGCAUAUCUAACUCCUCAGACUAUCCUGGGUCAUGUACCCACCUCCCACUAUUCUAACUCCCAGGCUGUUCCAGCUCACAGGAUCCUUCCCACCACAAUCUAUGUCUUUAAAAUUGGCAGGUUCUCCCCACUUUUUUUUGCUAUUCUCUCUGCUCACCCCUCCCCCCAGAAAUAGCCUUGACAGUUUGAAUAAACCUUUCUUUCUACCCACAGGAAAAAAAAAAAACACAGACCCCACAGACAAACAAAUCAAUAAAUGUAAUAGCAUUUCAAGUUGCUUAACAUGCAGAAGAUAUCCUGGUUAAUUUUGGGUGCAUGUUUUCCGCUCAGUAUCUUACAGUUCAAUGGUAAAUUGAUUGUUUCCUUUCAGUCGUUUGGUUACUUAGAAAUGAAGUGUUUUUUUUUUUAAACAAAUAUAUUUGAACCAUAUGCUUGCAUAAGUUAUUUCUGGAUUUUUAUUUGAUUUUGUGGUUAAAUAGAAGCAGUAGGUAUCUUUAACAUUAAAAUUCACAAGUGUCUGAAUUCCUCAUGUUCAAGCCACCUGGGCUUGUGUUCCAGGAGACCAUUCAGUGAGGUCACUCUCAGAUCCAUACAUUCUUCCCUACUUGGUCUUUUGUCUCUCUAGGUUAUGAUAUUUUUAUUUUUGCAGAAGAGACUCAUGGACAGUAAAACAUCAUAGUCUAUAUUUCUUCUAAAAUUUUGUUUUCAUACUUAAAUAAAAAAGGUUGCACCUAGAAUUUAAAAUUCAUUGUACUUUCUUAGAUUUGCAAUCUUUUCAAAGUACAGCAGUAUGAGGAAGAAUAUGAUGUCUAAAAUCCUCCUUUCUGAAGUUUAGCUUUUAGAAUACAAGGAGGUUCUCUCCAAGCUGUCAAGGGACCAAUAAUCCUACCCAGCUGUGACAACUAUGAACCUCAAUAAUGACAAGCAGGUUACUUCUUGACUUCUCUAAUUUAGCAGAUUUUUAUAUUGGAUUUCCAAGUCUUUGUUGGUAAAUAGCACGAUAGAGAAUUGUUUUAAACCUCUAUAUUGCAGCCAUGGCAGAAGGGCCACUGAAGGCCCUGCAGGCCAUGGCCUGAGUGGCCAGUGGGGUGCUGACUGAGGGACUAUGGGGCCACAGUUGAUAAUUAAAAUAUCAGUAGAUUCCUGUGCAGCUGCUAAGAUGACAGAAAAACAUUAGAAUAUUUAUCUUUUUCUUUCAGAUUAUUAAUCUAUGAUUAAUAGUUUUUACUCUAAUUCAUGUGAUAAUUCUGACAAUAACAUUUUAAUUUCUAAGGAAUUUUCUUUUUUUCCUUAACUGCUUAUUUUAAGUGGCAGCCUGAUUUAGUUUAGGAAUGCAAUACCCCUUGGCUCUUUCUGAGAUUACAUGAAUUAAAAAUAAAUUUGUAUUUUUGGAUUUUUUUCUCUCUCUGAGUUGCCUGAUUUCUCUAAGAUUUUAUGGUUGUUCAGUCUCACAACCUUCUCAUAUUUGUGAAUUAACAACUAAUUUAUACUUUUGCCUACAGGGUUUGCCAUGGAAUUUGUAUGCCCAGUUUAAAGAGUUCCUCCACUGUGAGCCAGCUCAGGGAUCAGGCAGGCUUCUCUUCAGAUUAGCAGUCAGCAAGCCAAACAGGCAGUGAGCACAAUGUGGCUCUGUUGUGAGUGUGGAGUGCUUGGAAUGGUUUGUUUCCAGAAAUAUCUAACUCUCUGAGGAGAUCCUGAGCUACUCUUCAUGAUUCUGCCUCUCCUUUCCACUGAUGCUCCAGCUACUGUGGGACCCCUAAGAGGAAUUUAUGCUCAGAAUACAGGGAAGAGCAGCAGCUGGGACUCAGCAAAGGAAACUGAGCUCUGUAGUCUCCCAGUGCCAGAGGCUGUAGAGGUGGAAUCAACUCUGCAAAUAAAUCACUGGAAAAAAUAAUCUCAAUAUUGGACUUUUGCCAUCUCUCAUCAUGUGCUGAUGGUCAGUUGAGUACCUGAACUAGGAUCUUCUAAAGUGCUCAGCCCCGUAACAGAGAAAAAAUACUUGGAGCAAGAUGAAAGAAGGAAGAGGAAAGGCAAGAAAUCAAGAACUUCAAAGGAGACAAGCCAGGGCCAUAUGAAAAGAAAUUACAUUUUAGCUUUGUAUUAAGAAAAUUUAUAUUAUAUUGUAAUAAUUAUAUUAUAAAUAUCAGUGAGCAUCUUUUUUGUCAGGUUAUUGUUUGGCAUGUGUGGUGUCAAAAAGCUUCGUUUCCAGACUGGGCAAUUUCUUACGAUGUGUUUAAAAAUUUAUCUCUGUAAGUAUUGUAGUAUGGAAGGCUGAUUUCUGACUAAUCGA